rnacentral:rRNA from 1 species
AUUUAUUUAAGAGUUUGAUCCUAGCUCAGGAUGAACGCUGGCGGCGUGGAUAAGGCAUGCAAGUCAAGGGGUCCAGCACCACUUUUGUCGGAAUGGGAUAUAUUUCCAUUAUUGCAAAAGUGGUGCUGGAAACCGGCAGACGAGGUAGUAAAAAGUAGGAACGCACCUUGAAGUCGGGCAUAGCUCGUCGAAAGACGGGGUAAUUCUCGAUAGUUCCGCACACUAACUUUGUCAUUGUAUCUUUCAGUUGUCUCACAACUAUCAAGUUUUCGACAACGGAAGAAUUAGGCAUCAGACAUGUUCUGAUACUUAUGAUACAAGACAACGAUGAUAAAGUUAGUGUGCGGAUAAAGUCGUAAGACGCUUCUUGAGCGGCCUGCUCGGUAUCAGCUAGUUGGUAGGGUAAAAGCCUACCAAGGCUAUGACGCCUAGGGGAGGUGAGAGCCUGACCCCCACCGAUGGAACU